GGAUUGUGGCUCAGUGGUAGAGCGCUCCCCUAACUCGGGCGGGACCCGGGUUCGAUCCUCAGCACCA
rnacentral:tRNA from 1 species